rnacentral:rRNA from 1 species
GUCCACGCCGUAAACGGUGGAUGCUGGAUGUGGGGCCCGUUCCACGGGUUCCGUGUCGGAGCUAACGCGUUAAGCAUCCCGCCUGGGGAGUACGGCCGCAAGGCUAAAACUCAAAGAAAUUGACGGGGCCCGCACAAGCGGCGGAGCAUGCGGAUUAAUUCGAUGCAACGCGAAGAACCUUACCUGGGCUUGACAUGUUCCCGACGGUCGUAGAGAUACGGCUUCCCUUCGGGGCGGGUUCACAGGUGGUGCAUGGUCGUCGU